rnacentral:rRNA from 2 species
AAUGAACGCUGGCGGCAUGCCUAACACAUGCAAGUCGAACGAAGUGCCUUCGGGUGCUUAGUGGCGCACGGGUGCGUAACGCGUGGGAAUCUGCCCCUUGGUUCGGAAUAACAGUUGGAAACGACUGCUAAUACCGGAUGAUGACGUAAGUCCAAAGAUUUAUCGCCGAGGGAUGAGCCCGCGUAGGAUUAGGUAGUUGGUGUGGUAAAGGCGCACCAAGCCGACGAUCCUUAGCUGGUCUGAGAGGAUGAUCAGCCACACUGGGACUGAGACACGGCCCAGACUCCUACGGGAGGCAGCAGUGGGGAAUAUUGGACAAUGGGCGAAAGCCUGAUCCAGCAAUGCCGCGUGAGUGAUGAAGGCCUUAGGGUUGUAAAGCUCUUUUACCCGGGAUGAUAAUGACAGUACCG